AAAUUGAAGAGUUUGAUCAUGGCUCAGAUUGAACGCUGGCGGCAGGCCUAACACAUGCAAGUCGAACGGUAGCACAGAGAGCUUGCUCUCGGGUGACGAGUGGCGGACGGGUGAGUAAUGUCUGGGAAACUGCCUGAUGGAGGGGGAUAACUACUGGAAACGGUGGCUAAUACCGCAUAACGUCGCAAGACCAAAGAGGGGGACCUUCGGGCCUCUUGCCAUCAGAUGUGCCCAGAUGGGAUUAGCUGGUUGGUGAGGUAACGGCUCACCAAGGCGACGAUCCCUAGCUGGUCUGAGAGGAUGACCAGCCACACUGGAACUGAGACACGGUCCAGACUCCUACGGGAGGCAGCAGUGGGGAAUAUUGCACAAUGGGCGCAAGCCUGAUGCAGCCAUGCCGCGUGUAUGAAGAAGGCCUUCGG
rnacentral:rRNA from 1 species